rnacentral:rRNA from 1 species
AUUAGAGUUUGAUCCUGGCUCAGAACGAACGCUGGCGGCAGGCCUAACACAUGCAAGUCGAACGGUAGCACAGAGGAGCUUGCUCCUUGGGUGACGAGUGGCGGACGGGUGAGUAAUGGCUGGGAAACUGCCUGAUGGAGGGGGAUAACUACUGGAAACGGUAGCUAAUACCGCAUAACGUCGCAAGACCAAAGUGGGGGACCUUCGGGCCUCAUGCCAUCAGAUGCGCCCAGAUGGGAUUAGCUGGUAGGUGGGGUAACGGCUCACCUAGGCGACGAUCCCUAGCUGGUCUGAGAGGAUGACCAGCCACACUGGAACUGAGACACGGUCCAGACUCCUACGGGAGGCAGCAGUGGGGAAUAUUGCACAAUGGGCGCAAGCCUGAUGCAGCCAUGCCGCGUGUGUGAAGAAGGCCUUCGGGUUGUAAAGCACUUUCAGCGGGGAGGAAGGCGGUGAGGUUAAUAACCUCAUCGAUUGACGUUACCCGCAGAAGAAGCACCGGCUAACUCCGUGCCAGCAGCCGCGGUAAUACGGAGGGUGCAAGCGUUAAUCGGAAUUACUGGGCGUAAAGCGCACGCAGGCGGUCUGUCAAGUCGGAUGUGAAAUCCCCGGGCUCAACCUGGGAACUGCAUUCGAAACUGGCAGGCUAGAGUCUUGUAGAGGGGGGUAGAAUUCCAGGUGUAGCGGUGAAAUGCGUAGAGAUCUGGAGGAAUACCGGUGGCGAAGGCGGCCCCCUGGACAAAGACUGACGCUCAGGUGCGAAAGCGUGGGGAGCAAACAGGAUUAGAUACCCUGGUAGUCCACGCUGUAAACGAUGUCGAUUUGGAGGUUGUGCCCUUGAGGCGUGGCUUCCGGAGCUAACGCGUUAAAUCGACCGCCUGGGGAGUACGGCCGCAAGGUUAAAACUCAAAUGAAUUGACGGGGGCCCGCACAAGCGGUGGAGCAUGUGGUUUAAUUCGAUGCAACGCGAAGAACCUUACCUGGUCUUGACAUCCACAGAACUUAGCAGAGAUGCUUUGGUGCCUUCGGGAACUGUGAGACAGGUGCUGCAUGGCUGUCGUCAGCUCGUGUUGUGAAAUGUUGGGUUAAGUCCCGCAACGAGCGCAACCCUUAUCCUUUGUUGCCAGCGGUCCGGCCGGGAACUCAAAGGAGACUGCCAGUGAUAAACUGGAGGAAGGUGGGGAUGACGUCAAGUCAUCAUGGCCCUUACGACCAGGGCUACACACGUGCUACAAUGGCAUAUACAAAGAGAAGCGACCUCGCGAGAGCAAGCGGACCUCAUAAAGUAUGUCGUAGUCCGGAUUGGAGUCUGCAACUCGACUCCAUGAAGUCGGAAUCGCUAGUAAUCGUAGAUCAGAAUGCUACGGUGAAUACGUUCCCGGGCCUUGUACACACCGCCCGUCACACCAUGGGAGUGGGUUGCAAAAGAAGUAGGUAGCUUAACCUUCGGGAGGGCGCUUACCACUUUGUGAUUCAUGACUGGGGUGAAGUCGUAACAAGGUAGCCGUAAAU